GGGAGCCAGAGAAAGAGCAGAGGGUGCAGCAGCUGGAAUCGGAGCUCAGCAAGAAGCGAAAGAAAUGCCAGAGCCUGGAGCAGGAGGCCCGGAAAAAGCAGAGGCGAUGUGAGGAGCUGGAACUGCAGCUGAGAGAAGCGCAGAACUGGUGGAGGAGAACUCCCGGCUCAGUGGGAGAGCCC